CCUACUAGUAUAUAUCACCAGAUCUUCUAUACAUGAAAUUCAUUGUUAUAUCUUGUCAUUUAAGUAAAAUCAAAAAUUAUAGGGAAAUUGCAUAUACGAAGGAGUAUAUAUAUUACUUUAAGUGUUAAGAACUGUUCAAACAUAUUUCUUUCACAACCGCAAAAUAAACAAAACACUAAUACAAAAAUGGCUUCAUCAUGCAAAACUUUAUUUUUUGUGUUCUUGUGUGUGGCUGUUUUCUUAUACCCAAAAACUGCAGAGGCUGACGAAUCACAGAGACAUGGAUUAUUUGUCAUUGGCUCUUGCUCGAAAAUUUCAGACUGUAACAAAAAAUGCAUCGAAAUGCAAUUUGCAAGCGGGAGAUGUCUGAAAGUGACCCCCCAAGCCACUGAUUUAUCAUGCUGUUGUGAUCUAUAAUAAAGCUAUCAAAAUAAAAUGUUGAGUCUUUAAAAUAAUA